rnacentral:lncRNA from 1 species
UGGCAUUUGUAUUACUGAAAGUACAGUACAUACUUUGUGUUAUUUUGCAUGCUCUCUAUGUGUUCUCGUCUUGGCAGGGGAUGCUUGGUGAUGACUCCUUAAAUGCUCUGAGUAAUAAUUGAGAAUACAUAGACAAUGUCAAAUUGAAGUGUGAUAUUUGUAUGUCAUAUUUACUCCACAAUAACUUUUUAUGUGUUUUUCUCAUUCUUUUUACAUAGACGUAAUGAUUUCUUUAUGCCGCAAUGUUACUUAUGUCAUUUGGAUUUGGACAUGCCGCAGUGUUACUUCGAUCUCUGGAUGGUUGGUGGCCACCUUAAUUAGAAUCAUUAGGGGUAAUGUAGUUGCAAUGCAGUAUCUAUGUGUGGGCUACCGGAUGGAGUUGCAACAGCUGUGGUCAAAAGCCGGAUGUUUUGGAGAUGCCAUGUUUGAUUAAUUAAUUAAUCAUCUUUUGUGGUGCCAUUAGUUCUGAUCCUGGGCUAGGAGGAUUUAAUAUUCUUAAUCAUGCUUUCAUGCAAAUUGACCCAGUUCGUCCGUUGAUUGAUUACUGGACUCUGAGUUGCAUUGCUUAUUUUGGUAAGUGAGAACGUAUGACUGUAAUUCUGCAUACAUCAUCAUGCUAUUUCCUCCUAAUUUAUAUAUGAAGAUUAAGUGUCCUUUUUUACCUAAAAUUUACUUGAAUAUUUAACUGAGAAUUACUUCAUUGUGUGUCAUGCCUAUCUUAUUCCAUCCACAUGAUCUAUGGACCACAGAUAUAGUUCUCAAUCCAAGGAGAGUCCGAAAACUAAUAAUUUGUGCCUUGAAUAACGAAUGUAAUUUUUUUGUUCUAAUCUUGAAACUUUGGCUAAUGUGAUAAUAUUGGUGUCACGGUGGUCUUCAUAGUUGUAGUGAGUACAAUCUAACAGAAGCAAAAGUCUCUAUUGAUUGUUGUAGGAGAUCCAGAAAGCGGAGCAUUGGGGCACUCUGAUUUUUAAGAAGCUCCAUGCACGUAUUAAGGCCAGUAAAUUCAAUUUGUUUCUCAUCUGCUUCUCUAUGGUCUGUUGUCCUUAUUCGAUCUGUUAUUCAGGUAUGUGUUGUUAACGCUCCUAAUUUUGGGAGAAUCAGAAAAAAAAUAAGUUUUGCAAGUUACGUCAUAUUUCCAUGUUUUAGUAUGAGAUUUAGAUAUAUUGUUUCUCCGGUUCCAUAUUCAUUAUAUGUUUUUCUCCUAUAAUUGGCCUGCUUAUUUACACAAGUCUGAAUUCCUAAAGGUUCAAGAGUAUUUCAAUGUUGCUAAAGAAAGAUACAAGGAUCAGUGCCGUAACAUUGUUGAAAGACAAUCAGACACAGUAUGCUUUUAACUUGCCAUUUCCUUACUGACUAAACCUGAGUACAUGACUAUUUUCAGUUUUCUAAUUCAUUGGAGCUGUGCUAAUCUCCUCACUCCUUGCCCUGAUGUAGGACACCAUGCAGCAGCACUGCACCCUGCAGUUCAUGCUCUGCUCACCAUGACCUGCCUCCUCAUCAUCAGACAUACUCAUGUGUACUAGGAUCUCCUCACCAUCAAAGUUCAUGUGUCCUCUAGAUCAAGCCUAUGCAUGUGAGCUGAAGAAUUGUUUGCCUGUUCACAAUUGGUGAUUGAAGGGUGGCCGGUGACUUCCAUAAUUUUCUUGUAGUUGUUUGUUGGAUAAUCUUUAAAAUUAGGAUUGUAGAGAACUUUACAUUACUGUAAAACUUCGUCUUCUUGGUGUUGAUGCUUACAUAUUCCAUUAUGCUAACUCAACAACACUUUUAGCAGAAAUUGGUUGUUUAUGCAGACACGCGGUGUAGUAAAAUUGAAGAUUUAGCUCCCGCAUUGCAUACUUAUGCUAUGUUGUAGUAAUCUUCUAUCCAUGAAUUAUAUAUAGCAGACUGUAUGUUCAGCCUCCACGUUCAUUUCUUUGAUCUCCUCAGGUUUCGCAGAGGAUUUAGUUGUACAUAUGUGCCAAUAUACCUAUGUGAGCCUCCCUGAAUUAUGUCGAUAUCUAUGAAACUUUGUUGUUCUUCCU